rnacentral:rRNA from 1 species
UCCUACGGGAGGCAGCAGUGAGGAAUAUUGCACAAUGGAGGAAACUCUGAUGCAGCAACGCCGCGUGGAGGAUGACGCAUUUCGGUGUGUAAACUCCUUUUAAGAGGGAAGAUAAUGACGGUACCUCUUGAAUAAGCACCGGCUAACUCCGUGCCAGCAGCCGCGGUAAUA